UCGGGAAUUUUGGGCAAUGGGGGAAACCCUGACCCAGCAACGCCGCGUGAAGGAUGAAGUAUUUCGGUAUGUAAACUUCGAAAGAAUAGGAAGAAUAAAUGACGGUACUAUUUAUAAGGUCCGGCUAACUACGUGCCAGCAGCCGCGGUAAUACGUAGGGACCAAGCGUUGUUCGGAUUUACUGGGCGUAAAGGGCGCGUAGGCGGCAUGACAAGUCACUUGUGAAAUCUCUGGGCUUAACCCAGAACGGCCAAGUGAUACUGUCGCGCUAGAGUGCAGAAGGGGCAAUCGGAAUUCUUGGUGUAGCGGUGAAAUGCGUAGAUAUCAAGAGGAACACCUGAGGUGAAGACGGGUUGCUGGGCUGACACUGACGCUGAGGCGCGAAAGCCAGGGGGAG
rnacentral:rRNA from 1 species